rnacentral:rRNA from 1 species
UGGGAUGACGUCAAGUCAUCAUGCCCCUUAUGUUCUGGGCUACACACGUGCUACAAUGGCCGGUACAGACGGACGCAAAGCCGCGAGGUGGAGCAAAUCCUAAAAAGCCGGUCUCAGUUCGGAUUGCAGGCUGCAAUUCGCCUGCAUGAAGUCGGAAUCGCUAGUAAUCGCAGGUCAGCAUACUGCGGUGAAUACGUUCCCGGGCCUU